GCGGGAAUAGCUCAGUUGGUACGGAGCAAGCGACCUUGCCAAGGUCGGGGUCGCGAGUUCGAGUCUCGUUUCCCGCUCCA
rnacentral:tRNA from 1 species